rnacentral:lncRNA from 1 species
CUCGGGACCGGCGGCGGAAGGUCGCCCAAACCGGAAGGAGGGCCGCCCGGGACGGCCGCCUACAGACCUAUCACACCUACCUCCAGACAUUCAAGACAUACUAACGGAGAAGGCAGAGGAUUUCCCAGCUCCUCCAAAUCAAAUACGACAAGUCCUGGGAGUGUGGCUGAGUUUCCAGCUGUUCCUGGCGGGAAGGCCUCUGCUUCUGACUCCUGCCUCUUCAAGGACCAGCCACCUUCCUGUCCCCUCCCUGACCAUUGGCCCACCUCCCCUCAAAACACACAGCAGUUUCAUUCCAGCGCAUCACCUUUUUAGCUCCUCCAUGGGUGUUUCUGGUGUGGGAGGCCCCAGCAAGCAUGCCAGCUGUGUCCCCAGCUGGAUGCAUCAGGCACAGAGAAGAGAUCAUAUCCCAUGAACCCACAAGGACCCUGGGAAGCCACACCGAAUGUCAACCAGACACACUCUCCUGGAGCAACUACCUUAAUAAUGUGCAUUUAAAGAAAACUCACAUUAAAACAAACACAGAGACAUAAAGCCCUCGAAUAUAAAGUGUGUGUGUGUGAAGUUGCACAACACGACACAAGGUCUCAUUCAACAGAUGCUUAUGGGGCUCCUGCAAAAGUCCAAGCACCCUUCUAGGCUCUUUGCAGCUAAAACUCUC